rnacentral:rRNA from 1 species
GAUGAACGCUGGCGGCGUGCCUAAUACAUGCAAGUCGAGCGAACAGACGAUGAGCUUGCGCCUCGGACGUUAGCCGCGCACGGGUGUAUAACGCGUGUAUAACCUACCUGUAAUACGGGUAAAUUUACGAGACAGCGGCGCUUAUACGAUAGAAGCUAUUGAAGCGCAGUGGGGAAUAGUAAGAGUCGGCGGUGCGGGAUGGUAUAGAUGCAUCCGCGCCGCAUUGGGUGGUAGUUAAGUUAACGGGUUACGAAGGCAACGAGGCGUAGCCGAACUGAGAGGGUGAUAGGCCACACUGGAGCUGGGCCACGCUCAAGACUACUACGGGAGGCAGCAGUCGCGAAUCGUCCGCAAUGGUCGGAAGCCUGACGGAGCAACGCCGCGUGAGUUAUGACGGUCUUCCGAUCGUAAAACCCUGUUAUUAGGUAAGAACAAAUGUGUAAGUAACUAUGCACGUCUUGACGGUAACUGAUCAGAAAGCCCCGGCUAACUACGUG